rnacentral:rRNA from 1 species
ACGUAGGUGGCAAGCGUUGUCCGGAAUUAUUGGGCGUAAAGGGCGUGUAGGUGGAUUCUUAAGUCGUGUGUCUAAGUGCGGGGCUCAACCUCGUAUAGGCGUUGAUAACUGGUGAUCUAGAGUGUAGUAGAGGAAAGCGGAAUUCCCGGUGUAGCGGUGGAAUGCGUAGAUAUCUGGACGAACACCGAAAGCGAAGGCAGCUUUCUGGGCGAUAACUGACGCUGAGGAACGAAAGCAUGGGGAGCAAACAG